GACGAACGCUGGCGGCGUGCUUAACACAUGCAAGUCGAACGGAAAGGCCCUGCUUUUGUGGGGUGCUCGAGUGGCGAACGGGUGAGUAACACGUGAGUAACCUGCCCUUGACUUUGGGAUAACUUCAGGAAACUGGGGCUAAUACCGGAUAGGAGCUCCUGCUGCAUGGUGGGGGUUGGAAAGUUUCGGCGGUUGGGGAUGGACUCGCGGCUUAUCAGCUUGUUGGUGGGGUAGUGGCUUACCAAGGCUUUGACGGGUAGCCGGCCUGAGAGGGUGACCGGCCACAUGGGGACUGGGGUACGGCCCAGACCCCUACGGGGGGGAGGAGGGGGGAAUAUUGCAAAAGGGGGGGAAGCCUGAUGCCGCAACGCCGGGGGCGGGAGGGCGGCCUUGGGGUGGAAAACCGCUUUCCCCUGGGACGAAGGGGGAGGGGCGGGAAUGGGAAAAGAAGCACCGGCUAACUACGU
rnacentral:rRNA from 1 species